rnacentral:lncRNA from 1 species
AGAUAUGAUAGAGUCCUUGUCUAGGUCAAAUACCUAGUCAAGGUAUAUCCAAACAGGGCAAGAUAAGGGGUGCCCAACUCUUGGGCACCCCCUCAUUCUUUUUAUACGUGGACCCCCAGAAAAGGGUGCAUAUUAUGUAUCAUAAAAGCCAUAAAAAUCUCAAAAAAAAUUUGGGUAAAAUCAGUGCCAUGAGGAAAGAGUUUUGGUUUCCUAAAACUCUAUCUCAUAGAAUUUGAAAUCCAAACUAAUUCCUACUUUGACUUGAUCCACAACCACUUUCCGUGUAAGAGAG